AUUGAACGCUGGCGGCAUGCCUUACACAUGCAAGUCGAACGGCAGCACGGGAGCAAUCCUGGUGGCGAGUGGCGAACGGGUGAGUAAUAUAUCGGAACGUGCCCAGUCGUGGGGGAUAACGUAGCGAAAGCUACGCUAAUACCGCAUACGAUCUAUGGAUGAAAGCGGGGGAUCGCAAGACCUCGCGCGAUUGGAGCGGCCGAUAUCAGAUUAGGUAGUUGGUGAGGUAAAGGCUCACCAAGCCGACGAUCUGUAGCUGGUCUGAGAGGACGACCAGCCUCACUGGGACUGAGACACGGCCCAGACUCCUACGGGAGGCAGCAGUGGGGGAAUUUUUGGACAAUGGGCGCAAGCCUGAUCCAGCAAUGCCGCGUGCAGGAUGAAGGCC
rnacentral:rRNA from 1 species